rnacentral:misc_RNA from 1 species
UUUCCUAUGAAGAAACUGUGCAGGUACUCAUAUCUUUUCCAAUUUCUUGAAAGGAAUUUGCUGAAGGGCAUAUUUAUUUGGGUUAAUUACAAAAAAGACUUGAACUUCAUUUCAACUCUCAAAUCCCAAGUUCUUAACUAUAGCUAACUUUCAAAAUAGUCAAUUAUGGCCUAUACUUCUUAUUUAGAAUUGUGAUGAGGUCAUCAAAGUUCAUUAAUUACAUGUAAAAUAACACAUAGAUGGAAUAAUUACACAUAAAUUUUAAUAAUAUCUGUAGCCUAAUAUCAAUAGCUUUUUCAUUAUAUUGAUGUUUC